UCUUUCUUUCAUUGGAUAUUAGGAAAGUAUCAUUGUUGAGGGAACUUCCCAAAGUGACGAUUCAUUGCACACUUCUUCCUUCACUUCCAUCGUCUCUGUCCAUCUCGACUAUAGGCUUCAGAUUUUUUGGGAUCGUGAAGAACGGGAUGUCGAAACGAGGACGCAUCCGCCGGGAACAGGUUCAACAUGUCACUGGGUCAGCCGGUGGCGGUGACGGCGAACUGCGCCGAUAACACUGGUGCGAAGAACCUGUACAUUAUUUCCAUGGUGUUAGUUUCUCUCUUUCCGUCCAUAACUAGUCAAUGUUCAUUUGAGUUCGAGGUCACCGGUGAAUUUGGUUGUGGUGGAAUAGCUUAUUUCAACUCGUCAUUGUCUCAGUCGCUGCUCAUAACGAGAUAAAGAACUCUUAGCUCUUUUAUUGAUUUAGUUUGCACUAAAUGUUUGAUAAUAAUUUGUUCUUUGAUUGGUUCUAAGAUUUUCCUGCGUGAUAUAUUUAAGUCUAACUUCCAUUCUAAUCUUAAUCUUAUUUUCAUUGAGAUUGGAAGUGUAGGUUUCGUUUCUAAUAUCACUUAGUGUGUAUUUUGAAAUUAUUUCUCUGUUUGUUGUCUUCAUAAUUCAUGGUCACUAUGCAUGCCUCGUGUUUUAUCUUGUUUCACUAGUUCAUCAUGAUAUUAUUCUGUUCGUAUAUAGUUGAAAUCGUAUUCAUGCUUUCAUUAUGUGUUUUGAGGGUGCCGAACGAGUUAUGCAGUUGCACAUUAAACAAAUUUUGAAUAUAUGUUUUUGUCUAUUAUUUUGUGAACUGGAAAUGAGACUGUAGCGAAAAGCUUUACCCGUGACAUUUACUGAUUUAAAUAGGAGCACUUUUAGAGACUUGAAGUUCAGCUCGACAAGUGAGAGUAUUUGGAGGUCAUUAGAAUGAGGUAUGCAAGAAGAAGAGUCGGGAGAAUCACCAAGACCAAGAAGCCAUGCUAGAAAAGUACAACAAUUAUCAGAAUUACGGAUCAUCAAUUCAUCACCCUUUGAUAAGUCUAACUCUAGUCUUAGAACAUUCCUAGAAAACGCAAAUUUAAUACAUUUAUCAAUCUCAUGCUGCAUGGAUUUGUAAAAAUCAAAACAAACCCGAAAUUGGUCUAGUCUCUGCACUUUAAACAUUUGCAAAGUACAAACUAACCCACCUAAGAUACUUCUUCAUUGCCUUUUCUGUAGGUUGGGUUGUAAGGUUACUUUAUCCAAGGGUAUGGUAGCAUCAAAAUCAAGUCGAUAAAUGUAUCUCCUUAAGCUUAGCCACCGCCUUGAGAGAACACUUGUGUUAGAUGCUUCUUCAACAGUAAGAAAAGAUAGUAUAUGUACUAAAACGUCAUCAGGUAACUGACUUAGUAUUGUUGGAAACGUUGUGGAGUUCCAAUUAUAUCAACUCUUUCUCUAUUAAUAUUUCAUUAAACGAUUUAAACAGUGUAUGGUCAUUGAUUGCAUUAAUGAUAAAACCAAGGAGUUGUCAUAGUACAUGAAUGUAUAUGUUUACAUGGACUAAUUUGAACAUCUAGAAUAUGACUGUAGUGAAAGCUCUGAAUGAAAUUAAGGCAUCUCUUGGAUGGAGAGUUGUGUAUGCACGGGUUGGAGGUGAUCCUUGUGGAGAUAAUGAUUUACCUCCAUGGUAUGGUGUUACAUGUUCAAGGACGGUUGAUUAAAGAGUAGUUAUUGAAUUAGCAAGCCAUGGUGUUAGUUUCUCCUCUUUACAUCCAUCACUAGCCAAUGUUCAUUUGAGUUCGAGGUCACCAGUGAAGUCGGUUGUGGUGGAAUAACGUAUUUCAUCUCAUCAUUGUCUCAGUGGUUGCUCAUAACGAGUGAAAGCUCAGAAUGAAAUUAAGGCAUAUCUUGGAUGGAGAGUGGUGUAUGCAUAUGUUGGAGAUGAUCCUUGUGGAGAUGGUGAUUUACCUCCAUGGUCUGGUGUUCAUGUUCAAGGAAGGGUGAUUAUAGAGUAGUUAUUGAAUUGUCACUUGUGAAGUCGGUUGUGGUGGAAUAGCUUAUUUCAGCUCGUCAUUGUCUCAGUCGCUGCUCAUAACUAGAGGGCACAAACUGGAAGAAAGGGAAGUGAAAGUGGAGAUACAAAUGAGAGCAUACCUUACACCUCAUCUCCCAGUGAGGUUGAAGUUGAUGUUGAUACUUCAAAGAAAUGAAAAACCAUGUAAGCUAGAGCUAAUUGUUGGAAGCAUUUUGAAAAGUUCACCGAUGAAAAUGGAGCUAGUAAAGCCAAAUGCAAGUAUUGUGCAAAAGCUUACGCAACUUCUACAUCAUCUAAUGGUAUGUCAUCAAUGAAUACUCAUAUGAGAACAUGUCCUAAAUGACACCGCAGAUAAAGGUCAAAAUCUAAAUAAUUUUCUACCAUCUUCAACGGGAGCAAAGGAAGGGGUCAUUAGCACUUGGAAAUUUGACCAAGCACAAAGUAGGAAGGCUUUAGCCAAAAUGAUAAUUGCUGACAAGCUACCAUUUAGUUUUGUUGAGAAAGAGGGUUUUAAAAACUUCAUGAGAGUUACAAUGCCGCAAUUUCAUAUUCCUUCUCGUAGAACUGUGACGAGAGAUUGUUAUGAACUAUACCUUGAAGAAAAAAAACUUUUGAAGAAGGUUUUCAACGAAGCACGUCCAAGAGUUUGUCUUACAACAUAUACUUGGACCUCUAUACAAAAAAAAAACUACAUGCGUUUGACAGCCCACUUUAUAGAUAGAAAUUGUAUUUUGCAUAAAAGAAUAAUAAAUUUUUUCCUAUUUCUAGUCAUAAGGGCGUGGAUAUGGCGGCUUGCAUUACUAAUUGUUUGCUUGAAUGGGGUUUGGAUAAUGUGUUUACUAACAUUAUGGAUGGUGACCAUCUUCAUGUGAGGUGUAUGGCACAUAUCCUUAAUAUUAUUGUGCAAGAUGGGUUGAAGGAAAUUGGUAAGUCUGUCAAGCUAGUGAGACAAGCCGUGAAAUACAUUAAACAAUGUCCCGCAAGACUUAGAAAGUUUAAAAAAUGUUGUGAAUCUGAAUUGAUAACUUGUAAGAAAUCAUUCUGUUUAGAUGUUCCUACUAGGUGGAACUCUACAUAUUUGAUGCUUGAUAUAGCACAACAUUUUGAGCUUGCAUUUGAAAGAUAUAGUUUUUAUGAUAUUGGAUACUUGAAUCAUCUUCGUACCUUUGGUUCUGAUUCGUCUGAAAAAACAAAGAUGGAACAAGUGUUGAAGAUGGAACUAGUGUUGAAGAUGAAACUAUUGUUGAAGAUGGAACUACUGCAAAUAUUCUUUCAAGUGUUGACUGGAAAUAUGUGAGGUCAAUGGUGAAAUUUUUGAAACUUUUUAUGUACUUACUUUGAAGGUAUCUGGUUCUAAUUAUGUCACUAGCAAUACACACUUCGUUGAAAUUUCUGAACUUUAUCUUAUUUUGAAAGAGAUGAUGACAAAUGAAGAUCGUAAUUUGAAAGAAAUGGCGGAAAGUAUGAAUGAGAAGUUCAAAAAGUAUUGGGGUGAACCACAAAAAAUGAACAAGAUGAUCUUUAUUUCAUCUGUAUUGGAUCCCCGUAACAAGCUUGAUUAUGUUCCAUUUGCAAUUGUGGAUAUGUUUGGAAAAGAAGUUGGGCAAAAGCUAUGUUCAGAACUGAAAAAAUACAUGAACUAACUGUUUGAGUAUUAUGUCAAGAAAUCCCCAAAAAGCUCUUUACAUGUACCAUCUUCACCCACUUCAUCUGACAAUUCAUCAAGUAUAUCUAGUGUGAGUGGUUGUGGCAACUUUGUGAGUAGAGGAAGAAUGAGAACGAAACAACAAUUUGAGAAGCACAAAGAAGUUAGUGGAAGUUCAGGUAAUAAAUCAGAAUUGGAAAGAUAUCUUGCGGAAGAUAUUGAGCCAGAUAGUGAUGACUUUGAUAUAUUAAUGUGGUGGAAAGUUAAUGAGCCGAGAUUUCCUAUUCUCGCGGAGAUCGUUCGUGAUGUGUUAGCCAUUCCCAUUUCAAGUGUCGCAUCAGAAUGUGCAUUCAGCACAGGAGGUCGUGUUCUUGAUCCCUUUAGGAGUUCAUUAACUCCUAAAAUUAUGCAAUCUCUUAUUUGUGUUCAAGAUUGGCUUAGAAGUGAGUCUUUUCCAAUCAAUAUUGAGGAAGAUUUAGAGUAUCUUGAACAACUUGAACUUGAUUUUGCUUGUAGUGGGACUGAAUUUAGUAUAAUUGAUAUAUAGUUGCAGCUUGUAAGUUCAACUAUCAACUAGUGAUGUGUGGUAACGAGUCCAUCAGUGUUUUGUUAUAUUCUUGGUUGCUAUCUGCUAGAACUUGCGAGCCAUUGCAAUGGAGGUUGCAAGUUGCAACGAUGUUUUGUUGGUUUUCUAAAUCUCUUUGUUGCUGGAAGUUGCAAUGAGCCGGAUAAUGAUGACUUUAGUUUGUAACUAACUCUAUUUUAGUGAUGGACACAAGUUUGUUGAACUUUCUAGUGUUGUUGUGAUGUUGUCUUGA